UCAGCUAAUGCUACAUAUUCUUCUCAAACUUCACAUGGACCUCACACUCAGGAGACCAGUAGCUAUUCACAUGCAACAAAGUUUUGAUGCUUUGUGUAAGAUGACUCAAAAUUGUGCUACAGUAACAUUGAUGGUUAUGCAAAUGCAACAGGUUUAUCUCUUUUUCGAAAUGCUUCAUGUAAUUCCGUAUUUAGUAAACCAUGGAUUUUAGAUAGUAGAGCUACUGAUCAUA
rnacentral:lncRNA from 1 species